ensembl:lincRNA
GCUUGAGCCUUAACUCAGGCUAGCCUGGAACUAUAUAACCUAGGGUAGCCUUGAACUCACUGAAAUUCUCCUGCCUUAGCAUUCUCCAAAGCCAAAAUUGAUGUUUCUUCUGAAUCAAUACAGCACUGAAAAUCAAAUCACUUCAACCUCAACCAAAUACUAUUGUUUACUCAUAAAUAUGUGUUCAUUUUUAAGUUCAAUUGGUCUGAAGGGUUAAAAAAUAUUCAGGGACAGAGACAGGAAUAUAAAUUUAAGUAAAAAAUAAUUAAACUUUAAGAAUCCAGCUUCAUUCUGGGACUACAGAGAGAAAUUUACAGAUAUACUACAUAUUUAACAGUUCAGUUUUGUAAUACUAGAGGGGGCUGCUAUCAGAAAAUUGUCAGCUGGGCAUGCCUUUAAUCCCAGCACUUGGGAGGCAGAGGCAGGAGGAUUUCUGAGUUCCAGGCCAGCCUGAUCUACAGAGUGAGUUCCAGGUCAGCCAGGACUACACAGAGAAACCCUGUCUCAGAGGAAAAAAAAGAAAAAAAGAAAAGUAAAUUGUCAGGUCAUAGUUACCUUGAUCCAACUAACCUCCCAGUAGAAUACAUAAGGAAAUCCUAUCUAUGCAGAAGUUACCAAUAAUGGCAUCAAUUCAUAUUUAAAGAUUACAUAAGGUAAGCCUUUAAGAUUUCUAAGAUGUUAUUACAAAUAUUGAACUGUUAAGUUCCUGUAUGAAGCCCCUUCUAAACAUCCUCACUUAUGAUGGAGAAGGAAGGAAGUUAAGACAUGCUGCAAUUAUAAACAUUCUUACCCAAGCACGAAAGGUUAGGUUAUUCCAGUGGUGUUUUUAACUACUUAGCUUUCAAGGGAUUACUUACUACUCACAAAUAAAUCUUAUUUUCUUUCCAUUUUUCCCUCCUCUCUAUACAAUAAAUCUGUUAUCCGCCUUUAUCUAUCGUUAAGAAAAAUUUCCAAUGGGUUUUUAUUAGGACUUAACCUUACACUGAAAGCUGUAUUAAGUAUUGCUAAAAAAUAUUUGAAAUAGGUUUUAUCUUCUCCCAUAUUUUCCGCAAAGAACUCAAGAAAAUUCAACAGAUUUUACAAUUAAGCUAAAUUUAUGUACGUCUUUUCUUGUAAGCCAAAUUUGUCCAAAAAAAAAAAAAAAAAAAAAAAAAAAGCAUUUAAAUCGCUAAGAAACUUGCCUAAACGAGUUUUUACAAGUCAGGAUUUGGACUUGUUUUGUUGGGUUUUUUUUUUGUUUGUUUUUUUUAAUGGAAGUGCUGAAUUUUAAUUUGAAAGUACAUUGUUAAUUAUCCCCCAAAAGCAACAUUUCAUCAUUUUUAGAAACAAACACGUAAAUAACUCCUUAUAAGAAUUCUAAUCUAACUGUAUUUUUAAAAACCCUUUCCUUCAAUUCUAAUUCAGUGGGCAUCAAAUAUCCAAAAUGAUUCUGUUUUCAGCACAGGUAAAAUUUGCCAAUAUUUACUGAAGUCUCUAAUACGUGGUCUAACAAAAUGGAGGUCUCUCGGUGGAAAAAAAAAUAGGCUUAAACACUUCUACAAAAUGGGGCCAAACACACCCACAUUAAAAAACCAUGGUUUGGGUCAGAUUUUCCACACACACGAAAAAAAAAGUCGAUUCUGUCAGGGCUCGACGAAGCGUCCCCUGGAACUGGGGGUUAGUAGUGGUUUCGUUAAGACCAGGGAGGGAGGGGGUGUUUCUCUCCACACUCUAGAGGACGGCGGCGAGGGGUGAUCCGAAAGCCCAGAGGAAAGGAGCUGGAGCUGGGGGGAGACCUGAGCGCCCCGCCGGUCCCUGAUCAAUAGUCAAACUGACCGCCCCACUACUCCAAGACAGACUUGGGCUCUCCCAACCCCGCCAAGUCAACAGCAAAAGGCACAAACUCCCUUUUCUGCUCCCAGCCGCGGCCCCUCCCCCACCCCCAGGGCUCUGGCAGCGACUUACCGUCCCGAGAGGUGCCCAUUAACUGGUCCAGCAUAGCGCGCAUCUGGGCCUGCGCCGACAUGGCGACAGCGUAGCGGGCGGGCGGUCCGGCAGGCAGGCAGGCGGGGGUGGGGCACCGGCCGGGCCCUGGCGGGCGGGGGACGAGGGGAAGGGGUGGGGGAGGUGCGGCGCUGUCUCGGUGGCCGCGGCGGCCUAGAGCCCGCGAGUAGGGAGUCGGAGGGGUCGUGGAGAGUCCGGGCUGCGCUCCUCACGACGGCGUGGACGUGGAAGAUGGCAGCCCCCCUAGAGAGUGAGCCCUGGUGCCCUCACUCUCCGUCCGGUUCCUGAGACAGACGCGACACAGGCUAAGCCGACUCUCGCCUCCUCCCGACACCGAC